GCCGGGCGCGGAGGGACGUGCCUGUAGUCCCAGCUACUCAGGAGGCUCAGGUGGGAGGAUCCCUUGAGUCUGGGAGUUCUGGGCUGUAGUGCGCUAUGCAGAUCGGGUGUCCGCACUAAGUUUGGCAUCAAUAUGGUGACCUCCCAGGAGCGGGGGACCACCAGGUUGCCUAAGGAGGGUGAACCGGCCCAGGUCGGAAACGGAGCAGGUCAGAACUCCCGUGCUGAUCAGUCGUGGGAUCGUGCCUGUGAAUAGCCACUGCCCUCCAGCCUGGGCAACAGAGCGAGACCCCAUCUCU
rnacentral:SRP_RNA from 1 species